GCAGUAUUUCAACAGCAACAGCGCCCAUGUUCCCUUCAAUGCUUCCAAUCCUUGGUCUCCAGCUCCGCCUCGCGUCUUCCUUUCCGCUGCAGGAAAGUGCAAACCCCCACUCAACUAAAAAAAGCCGCAAGGCAAAGAGAAAAAGCAACGCGAAGCAAACCACCAUUUCGGCCUCCCCACCCCCAUCCCAUCUCAUCCCCUCCGAGGCUCCAGGGACGGCGUGAUGAGGCCAGCGGCGCCGGCUGCGGCGGCGGACGCGCACCAGUCGCGGCUGCUCUACGAGCUCUGCGCGCUCCUGCUGACCGUCCUCGGAGCGUCGCCGGACGACGGGGCGGGGGCGCGGCCGCUGCUGCCGCGGCAGGUGACACCUGCCGGGGUGGCGUCCAUGCUGCUGGGCGCGUCCAUGGCGCUGAUGCUCUGCGGCUCGGUCACCUUCAUGCUCGGAUUCUUCCUCAUGCCCUGGGUCGUCGGGCUCGGCUUCCUCUUCCUCUUCGUCGGCUUCGUCACCAACCUCUCCGGGAUCUGGAGGGCCAUCCUCCUCUGGCCCUCCGCCGCGUGCUCGCCCAAGGAAGCAUCCUCCCCAUGGCAUAUACUUCCCAAGCCUUCAUUCAUGUCGAUGUGAAUGAAGGCAAUCACAAAGCCGGGCUCCCACGGAGGUGUAUAGAAACAGGGGAAUUCGAGCAGACUGUUUUGUCUUUGGCAGCCUAUAUUUUCCUUCCUGGACAACCUUUUCUUUUUUACCAUGUAACGCCGCAGCAAGUUUGGAAAUGGUUUUAUACUGUGGGGCUAGGAGGAUACUUGUCUGUACAUACGGAAAAGAUGAUCUGGUCUAAACAUCACGUGGAGCUUGUAAUUGUUUCAGAAACGUUGUUCCUUGGCAAAGAAAACGAGAGGUCCCGUAUCGCUGUUCCACCAGUGAGCUUGUGUCGUCUCUCCAGUAUUGCUGUUCCACUGGGUGUCUCACCUGAAUCUACCGUUAUGCUCCGACUUUGCUUAUGUUUGGACUUUGAGAGGAGUGGAUGCAACCUCCGAG
rnacentral:misc_RNA from 1 species